rnacentral:rRNA from 1 species
GACGAACGCUGGCGGCGUGCUUAACACAUGCAAGUCGAACGAUGAAGCUGGAGCUUGCUCCGGUGGAUUAGUGGCGAACGGGUGAGUAACACGUGAGCAAUCUGCCCUUGACUCUGGGAUAACUGCGGGAAACUGUAGCUAAUACCGGAUACGAGAUUUGGAGGCAUCUCCGGAUCUGGAAAGAAUUUCGGUCAAGGAUGAGCUCGCGGCCUAUCAGCUUGUUGGUGAGGUAAUGGCUCACCAAGGCGACGACGGGUAGCCGGCCUGAGAGAGUGACCGGCCACACUGGGACUGAGACACGGCCCAGACUCCUACGGGAGGCAGCAGUGGGGAAUAUUGCACAAUGGGCGAAAGCCUGAUGCAGCAACGCCGCGUGAGGGAUGAAGGCCUUCGGGUUGUAAACCUCUUUUAGUAGGGAAGAAGCGAAAGUGACGGUACCUACAGAAAAAGCACCGGCUAACUACGUGCCAGCAGCCGCAGUAA